AUCUUUCAGUUAAUGAGUUCUCGUACCAGCAGAACACGAGUAAUGGAAACGGUUGUAAACGAUUUCCAAAUGGACCGAACAUUGCCUUGGGUAAACCUACUGAACAAAGCUCAACUGCCCCACAUCAUGUACCCUUGUCAUCAUCACUGGCUGUCGACGGGAAUAGAAAUGGUAAUUCAUAUGAAGGGUUAAGCUGCAGUCAUACUAGCUCUGGUGAUUAUGCUCCAUGGUUACAAGUUGAUCUUGAAUUUACUUUUAACAUUACCAGUGUUACCAUAGUCAAUCGCCACGAUUAUCGGGACAGGGUUUAUGAAAGAAUGACAAAUGCAAGUAUAUUGGUUUAUGAGUCUGAUCCAACUACUACAACAACCACACCCAUCAUUUGUAAAUUUAUACCAGGGAUUUUCGGUUUGACUUCUCGCACAUUUGAAUGUGAUGACGUCACUAUCGGACGUUACGUCAGAAUAAUCAAAGAUUCUGAUGAGUUAGAUGUGUGUGAAUUGGAAGUGACAUGCAAUUUGAUGUAGAUAAAGUACUCUUGGUGGGUGUUGCUCGAAGAUGGUAAAUGAAAUUAAAUAUUCUCCGGUUUAAUACACCUUGCUUUUAAGGAAAUUGGCAUACUUAUUCUGUACACCCUAAGGACGGCAAAUAUUGAUUUUGGUGCAUGCCCCGACCCAUUUUUUUUUUAACAUUUUGUCCGCAAAUACUCUACAGGUUGCAAUAAUUGUUAACAUAUUUUCUUCUAAUUCGGCAUGAUCAAUCAUUUCAAUAAC